rnacentral:rRNA from 1 species
UACGUAGGGGGCAAGCGUUGUCCGGAUUCAUUGGGCGUAAAGAGCGUGUAGGCGGCCUGAAAGGUCAGCUGUGAAAACUCGAGGCUCAACCUCGAGACGUCGGUUGAAACCAUCUGGCUAGAGUCCGGAAGAGGAGUGUGAAAUUCCCGGUGUAGCGGUGAAAUGCGCAGAUAUCGGGAAGAACACCCGUGGCGAAGGCGGCACUCUGGGACGGUACUGACGCUGAGACGCGAAAGCGUGGGGAGCGAACAGG